rnacentral:rRNA from 2 species
AACGCUGGCGGCGUGCGUAACACAUGCAAGUCGAACGAGAAUGUACUGACAGAUCCUUAGGGUGAAGAUAGUACAGGACAGUGGCGGGUGGGUGAGUAACGCGUAAGAAACCUGCCUUUCACACCGGGAUAGCAGCUGGAAACGGCUAUUAAUACCGGAUGACGCUUUUUCCCCGCAUGAGGAAGAGGUUAAAGAAUUUCGGUGAAAGAUGGUCUUGCGUCUGAUUAGCUAGUUGGUGGGGUAACGGCCUACUAAGGCGACGAUCAGUAGCCGGCCUGAGAGGGUGUACGGCCACAUUGGGACUGAGACACGGCCCAAACUCCUACGGGAGGCAGCAGUGGGGAAUUUUGCACAAUGGAGGAAACUCUGAUGCAGCGACGCCGCGUGAACGAAGAAGGUCUUCGGAUUGUAAAGUUCUGUCCUGAGUGAAGAUAAUGACGGUAACUCAGGAGGAAGCCCCG